UAUGGAUGCAGUUGAGCCUUUCAGCCUGG
rnacentral:sRNA from 1 species